rnacentral:misc_RNA from 1 species
CUCAUAUUUAAAUAAAUAUUAAAUAAUUAAUUUGUAAAACAUAGAAGUUAUAAGAAUAACAUAAAUUAUCAUAAUAUUCAAUUUUUUUAAACAUAACUCCUUAUGACCUAAACCCUGUUAAUAACAAUGCAUGAACCCUUAGUCAGCCUGUUCAAAACUCUAGUCUUCACAUGAGGGGAAAAAAAUUCAAAACCAUAACAAUUACUCCUUUCAAUGCAUUUUUUUUUUUUUAUCAAAGCAUGCCCUGUACAAUUAUUCUCGUCAGUACACCAGUGGAUAUUCCACUGAUAUCAAAUCAUGCCUUCUGCAAUUAUCCUGAUCUCUGGAAAAUGAACCUACUUUUACCAUUAUUUCCCAUUCAAUCACUUCCAAAAAUGGCUCUCCUAUUUGACAAAGUCAACAUCUCUCCUCCAGCCUAAACACAGAAACAUAAAUAGAAACAGAGAUCUUGAGGGGCCAAGCCCAAACAAAUCUUUAGCCACCAGGUAAUUUAUUGCUCCAUAAAUGAAAUAAAGACAGCUGCAAGACCUUUUGUGUGGUGUGCACCCUAUGUUGUAUAAGCUGUUUUCCCAAUCAUUCUUAUUAAGACAUGGAGACACAGAUGGUAUUUAUCUAUAAUCUGCACCAACUGCUUCAAGGAUAGACUUGAAA